UACGUAGGGUGCAAGCGUUAAUCGGAAUUACUGGGCGUAAAGCGUGCGCAGGCGGUGAUGUAAGACAGUUGUGAAAUCCCCGGGCUCAACCUGGGAACUGCAUCUGUGACUGCAUCGCUGGAGUGCGGCAGAGGGGGAUGGAAUUCCGCGUGUAGCAGUGAAAUGCGUAGAUAUGUGGAGGAACACCGAUGGCGAAGGCAGCCCCCUGGGUCAAAACUGACGCUCAUGCACGAAAGCGUGGGGAGCAAACAGG
rnacentral:rRNA from 1 species